rnacentral:rRNA from 1 species
GAGAUCUGGAGGAAUACCGGUGGCGAAGGCGGCCCCCUGGACAAAGACUGACGCUCAGGUGCGAAAGCGUGGGGAGCAAACAGGAUUAGAUACCCUGGUAGUCCACGCCGUAAACGAUGUCUACUUGGAGGUUGUGCCCUUGAGGCGUGGCUUCCGGAGCUAACGCGUUAAGUAGACCGCCUGGGGAGUACGGCCGCAAGGUUAAAACUCAAAUGAAUUGACGGGGGCCCGCACAAGCGGUGGAGCAUGUGGUUUAAUUCGAUGCAACGCGAAGAACCUUACCUGGUCUUGACAUCCACAGAAGAAUCCAGAGAUGGAUUGGUGCCUUCGGGAACUGUGAGACAGGUGCUGCAUGGCUGUCGUCAGCUCGUGUUGUGAAAUGUUGGGUUAAGUCCCGCAACGAGCGCAACCCUUAUCCUUUGUUGCCAGCGAUUAGG